rnacentral:rRNA from 1 species
CCUACGGGAGACUGCAGUGAGGAAUAUUGGUCAAUGGACGAGAGUCUGAACCAGCCAAGUAGCGUGAAGGAUGACUGCCCUAUGGGUUGUAAACUUCUUUUAUAUGGGAAUAAACUGUUCCACGUGUGGGAUUUUGUAUGUACCCUAUGAAUAAGGAUCGGCUAACUCCGUGCCAGCAGCCGCGGUAAUACGGAGGAUCCGAGCGUUAUCCGGAUUUAUUGGGUUUAAAGGGAGCGUAGGUGGAUUGUUAAGUCAGUUGUGAAAGUUUGCGGCUCAACCGUAAAAUUGCAGUUGAAACUGGCAGGCUUGAGUACAGUAGAGGUGGGCGGAAUGCGUGGUGUAGCGGUGAAAUGCUUAGAUAUCACGAAGAACUCCGAUUGCGAAGGCAGCUCACUGGACUGCAACUGACACUGAGGCUCGAAAGUGUGGGUAUCAAACAGGAUUAGAUACCCCUGUAGUC